rnacentral:tRNA from 1 species
GAGGCAAUAGCUCAGCGGGAUAGAGCAUCAGAUUGCGGAUCUGAAGGUCGGAGGUUCGAAUCCUCUUUGCCUCA